UGGGGUAUAGCUCAAGUGGUAGAGCGCAUGCUUAGCAUGCGUGAGGUCCCGGGUUCAUCUCCCAGUACUUCCU
rnacentral:tRNA from 1 species